rnacentral:rRNA from 1 species
AGUGGAUGGGGAGCAACCUAGUUGUGCGUGUGUAAAGGUAGUGCCAAGAAAAGCGGUGAUCAUGAUGAAAAUCAAUUCCCGGUACCCGAAACCGACACAGGUGGGCAAGUAGAGAAUACUAAGGGGCGCGAGGUAACUCUCUCCAAGGAACUCGGCAAAAUGACCCCGUAACUUAGGGAGAAGGGGUGCCACCGAGAGGUGGUCGCAGUGAAGAGGCCCAGGCGACUGUUUAGCAAAAACAUAGGUCUCUGCAAACUCGAAAGAGGAGGUAUAGGGGCUGACGCCUGCCCAGUGCCGGAAGGUUAAAGAAGUUGGUCAGUCUUAGGAUGAAGCUAGCGACUGAAGCCCCGGUGAACGGCGGCCGUAACUAUAACGGUCCUAAGGUAGCGAAAUUCCUUGUCGGGUAAGUUCCGACCCGCACGAAAGGCGUAACGAUCUGGGCGCUGUCUCGGAGAGAGGCUCGGCGAAAAAGGAUUGUCCGUGAAGAUACGGACUACCUGCAUUUGGACAGAAAGACCCUAUGAAGCUUUACUAUAGCUUGGAAUUGUGUUCGGGCUUCCUGUGCGCAGGAUAGGUGGGAGGCGUAGAAGGUAUUCUUGUGGGGAUACUGGAGCCAACGGUGAGAUACCACUCUCAGGAGGCUAGAAUUCUAACUUAAUUAAGGACAGUUUCAGGUGGGUAGUUUGACUGGGGCGGUCGCCUCCAAAAAGGUAACGGAGGCGUACAAAGGUUCCCUCAGACUGGUUGGAAAUCAGUCGAAGAGUGCAAAGGCAGAAGGGAGCUUGACUGCGAGAAGUACAGUUCGAGCAGGGUGGAAACACGGUCUUAGUGAUCCGACGGUGCUGUGUGGAAGGGCCGUCGCUCAACGGAUAAAAGUUACUCUAGGAUAACAGGCUGAUCUCCCCCAAGAGUUCACAUCGACGGGGAGGUUUGGCACCUCGAUGUCGGCUCAUCGCAACCUGGGGCGGAAGUACGUCCCAAGGGUUGGGCUGUUCGCCCAUUAAAGCGGUACGUGAGCUGGGUUCAGAACGUCGUGAGACAGUUCGGUCCAUAUCCGAUGUAGGCGUGAGAAUAUUGAGAGGAGCCUUCCUUAGUACGAGAGGACCGGGAAGGACGCACCGCUGGUGUACCUGUUAUGAUGCCAAUUGUAAACGCAGGGUAGCCAAGUGCGGAGAGGGUAACCGCUGAAAGCAUCUAAGUGGGAAGCCCACCUCAAGAUGAGUAUUCUGGUGUAAGGUCACGGGAAGACGUCCCGUAAAUAGGCACGAGGUGGAAGUGCAGAGAUGUAUGAAGCCGAAGUGUACUAAUAGACCGUCGGC